rfam:Danio rerio chromosome 5, GRCz11 reference primary assembly.
UCCUCGUUAGUAUAGUGGACAGUAUCUCCACCUGUCACGCGGAAGACCGGGGUUCGAUUCCCCGAUGGGGAG